rnacentral:lncRNA from 10 species
CCACUUGAAGAAGGACGUGUUUGCUUCCCCUUCUGCCGUGAUUCUAAGUUUCCUGAGGCCUCCCCAGCCAUGCUGAACUGUCUCUCAGACCCAAGUGUUACCAGUGAAGGGUGUCCAGGUUCUUGGCGCUUUGAACAAAGAAUUGGACAAAACUCACAAACAAAGCAAGAAAAGAAAGAAGCAACAAAAGCAGAGAUGUAUUGAAAAUGAAAACACACUCCACAGGGUGGGAGCAGGCCGAGCAAGCAGCUCAAGGGCCCAGUUACAGAACUUUCUGGGGUUUAAAUACCCUUUAGAAGUUUCCAUUGGUUACUUGGUGUACACCCUAUGUAUAUGAAGUAGUGGCCUGUGAUCAGUCUGAUUGGUUGGAAGGGACCAAUCAGAAUGCAAACGUCUGAUUAGUUGUGGAAAGUGACCAAUUAGAGGCUGAAGUGAAGUUACAAAGUAAUACUCCCACGCAAAUGAAGACUUGGCCCACAACCAACCUGAUUGGUUGUGAGAGGGGACCAAUCAGAGGGACUUUCAGUUUUUCACCUGCAAUGCAGAAAAAGGGUGGCAGGUGAGGGGUGUUGCAAAGGGAGUAGCCUCUGGUCCUUUUGUUACUUGGGCACUUGGGCGUGGAAAGUGGGGGUUUUCCUUUUGAUUUAGUUCUAGGAAGUCAGCGUGAAUUGGCCUUACAUUCCCUGCCUCCAGACCCUAUUCUCCUGCCUCACAAGUGCUCCUAGGAGCUGUACAUGCCUGUCUUUGUCCCCAUGUAGUCAGCUCGUUACAGGUGGGUCCUGCUGGGUCUUUCGUUCUUGCUUCUCUGCUUCAAGAUGGCUAAUAAGUCCUGGUCCAGUGAGUCCCCAGUGCAGACAUAGAGCAGAAGGGAAGUGGGUCCAGUUGCAUUUCCUGCAGUUUAAUAAAGAACCCUGUGCUCUCUGGCCCAUUACCUAAAGCUGAUAUUGUGCUUGGAACGUGUAGUGUUAUCCAAUCCAGCUUUACCACUGCUAAAGCUGAUACCACGCUUUGAUCCUCUGCUUGCUCAUUUUGCCAAGUUCUUAACUGCGUGGAACUGGAAGGUGAGGGCUGGAUGAUUGAUUUUUCACCCUGCCCCCAAACUCCAACAACCGAAACCAAGGGUUCUUGAAGAGAGAGGGGCAGGGCAGCAACAGGGAGACUGAAACUUGGGGUGGGGGGGGGGCGGGGGGAGGGGGGCGGACGGAAUGUUUUUGAAGUGUGUGUUUGCCUAAGGUGUGUGUAGAAAGGUAGCUACUUUUCAGUCUCUGCCUGCCUUUAAUCCAUUACAAUGUCCUAAUUAAAAACAUUUAAAAAGCUACAUUGGAAAAUGAUCCCUGAGGCUAGAAUGCUGUUGGCACAGUGAAAAAGACGCAAUCAAUAAGUAAACAGGCAAUGUCAGCCCGGAGAGCUUUCAGAACAACAUGCCUACUCGGGGGAAAAAAAAUUACAAGUCGCUUUAGCCUAUUUAAAUAUUUUCCAAGAUCUUUGUUAAAUUUCAGGUAAUAAUAUUUCUUCCUUUGAACAAGCGUUGUAUGUUUGCCUUUGACUGAGAAUGGCCUAGGCUAGAGACCAUUUGGUAUUCAACUUGUGACUAUUUUAGUAUGGGGCUGGACCCCAAAAAUUCAUGCUCAAUGAAAUGAUUUUCACUUACUGAGAUGAAUUUACUUUUUGCUUCCUUCAGCAAUUCAUCAAUCUAAUGGAAGAAAGAGUAGCUAUCAUCAUAAUGAGAAUAGACUUCUACGAGUAUGAGUCAAUGUCAAUACUUUAUUUAAUAAUGCAAAUUCUAUUACUAUAUAUUUGGUCUCAAUCCAAAUUUGCUUUAAAUUGAGUUUCCUUGCCAUUGCACACUCCUAUCUUUCUGAACACACACCACCCCACACACACACCAUACACACUUGUUUCAUUGCGCUUCAUUUUAUUGCACUUCUCGAAGAAUGUGUUUUUUACAAAUUGAAGAUUUGUGGCAACUUUUCAUCGAGUGAGUCUAUUGGCAUCAUUUUUGCAAGAGCAUAUGCUCACUUCCUGCCUCUGUGACAGCAUUUUUUAGCAAUAACAUAUUUUUAAUGAAGGUAUGUACAUUGUUUUUUAGACAUAAUGCUAUUGCACACUUGACUAAAAUGUAGCCUAAGUAUAAUUUUUAUAUGCCAUGGGAAACUAAAAAAAGUGACUUACUUUAUUGUAAUAUUUGCUUUAUUACUUUGGUCUGGAACUGCCUCACACUAUCUCUGAAGUAUGCAUGUAUAGCUUUUCAUAACACAGAUAUCACAUUUGACCAGAUCCUAUUGUUACUGAACAAUGUUGAUGCUAACAUUGAUGAUAUCAAUCACUAUUACUGGAAUCAUUAUCAACAUAUCAAUAAAUAUUUUUAGAACAUUU